GCAAGCUCGCGAGAGUAAGCUAAUCUCUUAAAGCCGUCUCAGUUCGGACUGUAGGCUGCAACUCGCCUACACGAAGUCGGAAUCGCUAGUAAUCGCGGAUCAGCAUGCCGCGGUGAAUACGUUCCCGGGCCUUGUACACACCGCCCGUCACACCAUGGGAGUUUGUAACGCCCAAAGUCGGUGGCCUAACCUUUAUGGAGGGAGCCGCCUAAGGCGGGACAGAUGACUGGGGUGAAGUCGUAACAAGGUAUC
rnacentral:rRNA from 1 species